rnacentral:misc_RNA from 1 species
UGUUGCUUUGCUUCUUCCACUAUGAUUGGACCCUUUUCUUUCCCUGGACGUAUAGCUACCUCUACUUGCACCCCUGGUCUUUUCCUUUGACACAUAUUUUUCAUAGAAUGAAGAAGUUCGCAAGCCCUUUUAACCUUCAACUUGCACUCAGGACCUUGUUUGGAAUUGGAUAGCUUGCUAAUAUACAAAAGAACAAUGGUAUCUUGGCUUUG